GAUGAACGCUAGCUACAGGCUUAACACAUGCAAGUCGAGGGGAAACGACAUCGAAAGCUUGCUUUUGAUGGGCGUCGACCGGCGCACGGGUGAGUAACGCGUAUCCAACCUGCCCACCACUUGGGGAUAACCUUGCGAAAGUAAGACUAAUACCCAAUGACGUCUCUAGAAGACAUCUGAAAGAGAUUAAAGAUUUAUCGGUGAUGGAUGGGGAUGCGUCUGAUUAGCUUGUUGGCGGGGUAACGGCCCACCAAGGCGACGAUCAGUAGGGGUUCUGAGAGGAAGGUCCCCCACAUUGGAACUGAGACACGGUCCAAACUCCUACGGGAGGCAGCAGUGAGGAAUAUUGGUCAAUGGGCGAGAGCCUGAACCAGCCAAGUAGCGUGCAGGAUGACGGCCCUAUGGGUUGUAAACUGCUUUUAUAAGGGAAUAAAGUGAGCCUCGUGAGGCUUUUUGCAUGUACCUUAUGAAUAAGGACCGGCUAAUUCCGUG
rnacentral:rRNA from 1 species